rnacentral:lncRNA from 1 species
CCUUCUUUUACUAUAGAAAUCAGAAUAAAAUCAGAAAAUUUGGACAGCAUAAGGAGUAGAUGGCUGGUGGUUGCUUAAAGCCUAUCCAAAGGAGAAGAGAUUCUAUAUCAAAUAGAAAGAAUGAUAUAUAGAAUAAAAUCAUGGAAAAAAUACCACCUUAAUCCUAGCCCUAGCCUUAUUUAAGGAUCCUAAAAUACCAGCAAGAGGGGGAGG